GAGGGCGAGGAAGACAAGUACAAGGACAAGGGAGAGGAGUGGGGCAAGGUAGAGGGGGAAGAAUAGGAAUGCGUGGUGGCGCUCAAAGAAGGACCAGAGCUAAGGUAACUGAUCAACAAGAGCCACAAUCAUUGACCAUGUCAUAAACCACGGGCUAUAAUACAGAGAGGCUGGUGAACGAUUACAGCCAAAUAUCAGCCUGGACACAUUGGCAUCUAUUGUCCGUAUUUUCAGAGAAACCAACAGGAUUCAACGUCUACCUCCCUCAGGGAGCAGGGGAAAGGUCCUGAAUGAAGAACAAGAACUUGCUAUUGUCACCAUGGUGACUGCUGAUAAUGAAAUCAAACUGAAAGACAUUUAGUCCAGAGUUGUAGAGGACAACCUUGUCUUUGGGAACAUUGCAGCAAUCAGCAUAACAUCCAUCUCUCGGACUCUAGCUAAACACAGAUUCCGAAUGAAACAUUUAUGCAAAGUUCCUUUCGAAAGGAACAGUGAACACAUCAAAGAAUUCCGUCACCAAUAUGUCCAGAGAGUCAUGGAGUUGGAGGCCAGUCAAUUCCCCCAUGAAUUUAUCUAUGUUGACGAGGCUGGCUUCAACCUGGCAAAAAGGCGUCGCCGUGGGAGAAACAUAAUUGGCAAAAAGGCCACGGUUGCUGUGCUGGGCCAGAGAGGAGCCAA